rnacentral:rRNA from 1 species
UACGGGGGGUGCGAGCGUUAAUCGGAAUAACUGGGCGUAAAGGGCACGCAGGCGGCCUUUUAAGUGAGGUGUGAAAUCCCCGGGCUUAACCUGGGAAUUGCGUCUCAUACUGGGAGUCUAGAGUUCGUUAGGGGGGGGUGGAAUUCCACGUGUAGCGGUGAAAUGCGUAGAGAUGUGGAGGAAUACCGAAGGCGAAGGCGGCCCCCUGGGAAUGUAUUGACGCUCAUGUGCGAAAGCGUGGGGAGCAAACAGG